UGUGACUGAGGGGAGAGACUAGAAGGAUGAAGAUUUGAUUUACAACACGUGGAGUUGUUAUAGCACCUUGCCUUUUGUUUAGCAUUUUGUUUUGCCAAACGUCUGCCCAUGUGUUCACUCAGGAAGCAGUAGUGUGAACAUGCAAAUAGGACAGCUGGCCAGUGUGUUCAGGAUACCCCCAGGGAGCAAAGGAACCUACUGGACAAAUAUAAGGGUUCACACACAUGGUUUACCACCACUCAGCAAGUGUCUGGUGUCAAAACAACUCCAGAGCCACAUAUACAUUUAAGACUCUAAACGCUUGGGCCGUAACACCAAGCCUCUGGUGAAGUCAGUGCUGCCGUCAACACAGCCGUCAGUCCCCUGCAUUCCUGCCCUUGGGGCCAAAUCGCUACCCAAGGCUAGCAAAGAAGUGAUCCUGUGAGGGCAACAAGACACCGCGACGAAAAGCAGAAGUGCAAAUCCGUAAUCGGUGCACGUCAUUCUCCUGUCCUGUGACACUACAGCAAUGUGUGAGCUUUUUUAUGCAAUGGGAGAGUGGAACCUGAGCCGAGCUUCAGCUAGUCGCUACUGGAGAGAGAAGGCAUGAGCAGGAAACAUUGCUUAUGUGUGUGCGUGCAGGCAGAAAUACGGAGAACUGAAAGCAUGGUGCAUGGAAAUUCUACUUCAUUCUCUUUCCCGGUUUUCUGAUAUCAGGCUGGGUGUAGUGGAUGCUUGGAAAGCAGUGACCAUUUCCCUUGAAAUCAACCUUCUUUCUGAUUUCAGUUCCUGACUUCGAUCAAUACAGCUGAUCUGGCUAGGCAAGUAGAUUGAUUACCUGUAGCAUGUGUGUUGAGUUAGAGUUGGAACUGAAUUCUAUAGGAAGGUGUGCUCCUCUGUGCACCAAAAGCGGUUUAGUUGAGGAUUUUUAAUAUUAUAAACAUUUAUAAACCUCUGGUUUCUUCGCUGUAGGUGUGUGCCUCUAAUCACUCUCAGGCCAUUGCACAGCAGCAUUUAAGGAAUAUAUAAGUAAAAAUAACAAACCAAAGCCCAAAGAAAAAAAUAUAUAAUGUAUUUUGUCUGCAGAGAUUUUAUUUCCCUGCCUCACAGAUAAUGAUGUUUCUGAAAGAGAAAAAAAUGCAAGAGGACACCAGAUGUCAACACUCACGUUUACUUCACUCGUGUGCCUUGAGCAAGUGGGACUCAAGUGGUGUACAAUACCUUCUCAACAUCGUUCUCUUUGGCCUUUGCUCUUCAUAAAUCCAUUGGACAACAUCAGAUUUUCCAUUCAAGCUAAUCCCAAUUCUCAUGUAAUUUCUGGCUUAUGGAGUUACCUUCUAUCAACUCCCCUUCCGCUGCCCUUCUGUCACUCCCAGCUCAUAAACUCCAUUCUCCUGUUCCUCAAACUGCCAUUGUUUCUGCAUUUCAUAUCCGUCCCCAUGGUGGAAAUACCAAUCAUUACACUGUGUCAGGAAUUUUUUCCAUUUGAAGAAAGCCCUUCAUCCAGGCAUACAAGGUGAGAUGACAAAAUAUAGAGAAGGAUACAAAGCUGCAGAGAGAUGAGCAAUUUCAUUGAGGGAAAGAGCAUGGAAGAAAUCUGCCACGUGCUUGGAAUGAAGAAAGAUCCGUAGCCAGACAUCUCUCUCUCUCUCUCUCUCUCUCUCUCUCUCUCUCUCUCUCUCUCUCUCUCUCUCUCUCUCUCUCAAUAUGCAGCUACCCACUUGUGCCCUCCAUACACUCCAGCUGUAUAUUCGUUCAUUGAGCUAUGGCUUUGUAAAUGCACUCUACAGCUGUACAUUCAUACAGUAGAUGCCAAGUUAUUAAAGACAGUUUUAUUUUAAAACCCUGCUUUAGUACAAAGAGGAAAUUGUGUGUUGUGUAUGACCUUUAUUUUGCUGCUUGAAAAGGGGGGAAAAGGAAAAAUCUACCUCUUUUUCUCUGGGGUAUACUUUAUUGGAUUGGCCUUUAGUGUGCCUAUGCACUGCAGAGUAUUAUCUAGCUGGAGGUGAAUAUAUGCUAACCUGUGACCUGUAAUGUAUUUAGCUAUGUUAGUUAUGUAAAUACCAACUUAUAUUUAUAUAUUUAUACUCCUAUUUAAACACAUUUUUUAUUGUAUUAAAAAAUGCUAAUAGA